UCACCGCUUGCGCGGGCAGUCUCAUUAGAGUCCCCAGCAUGACCUGAUGGCAACUAAUGAUAGGGGUUGCGCUCGUUACGGGACUUAACCCAACACCUCACGGCACGAGCUGACGACAGCCAUGCAGCACCUAGUUUCGUGCCCUUGCGGGAAUCCCGAUUUCUCGAGACGUCACUAACUUUCAAGCCCAGGUAAGGUUCCUCGCGUAUCAUCGAAUUAAACCACAUGCUCCUCCGCUUGUGCGGGCCCCCGUCAAUUCCUUUGAGUUUCAAUCUUGCGACCGUACUCCCCAGGUGGAUUACUUAAUGCUUUCGCUUAGACGCGUACUGUAUAUCGCCAACAACGAGUAAUCAACGUUUACAGCAUGGACUAC
rnacentral:misc_RNA from 1 species